rnacentral:rRNA from 1 species
UACGUAGGGGGCAAGCGUUAUCCGGAUUUACUGGGUGUAAAGGGGGCGCAGACGGCAAUGCAAGCCAGGAGUGAAAGCCCGGGGCCCAACCCCGGGACUGCUCUUGGAACUGCAUGGCUGGAGUACAGGAGGGGCAGGCGGAAUUCCUAGUGUAGCGGUGAAAUGCGUAGAUAUUAGGAGGAACACCGGUGGCGAAGGCGGCCUGCUGGACUGUGACUGACGUUGAGGCCCGAAGGCAUGGGGAGCAAACAGG